UAUACUUUCUUUUUUUUUUUUUUUCCUUUCCCUUUUCCUGAGACACAGUCCCGCUCUGUCCUCCACUCUGGACUACAGCAGGGCCAUGAUGGCUCACUGCCACCUCCACCACCCCCACCCCCGGGGCUCAAGCAAUCCUCCUGCAUCAGCCUUUGGAGUAGCUGGGACUACCCGCGGGGCCCACCACGCCCGGCUAAUCUUUGUGUCUUUUGUUUUGUUUCUCCGUUAAGAGACCGGGUUUCGGGCCAGGCGCAGUGACUCACGACUGCAAUUCCAGCACCCCGGGAGGCCGAGGCCGGCGGAUCACCCGAGCCAUUUCAGCUUGGUUAAGAAUAUUGCUGGGGAACUAGUGCAGUCAUUUGGAGUACAUGCUCUCCCUCUGCCUUCCGCCAUGAAUGGAAGCUUCCUGAGGCCUUCCCAGAAGCCAAGCAGAUGCCAGCAUCAUGCUUCCUGUACAGCCUGUGGAACUG